UACGGAGGGUGCAAGCGUUAAUCGGAAUUACUGGGCGUAAAGCGCGUGUAGGCGGUCCUGUAAGUCGGAUGUGAAAGCCCCGGGCUCAACCUGGGAACUGCAUUCGAUACUGCUCGACUAGAGUAUGGAAGAGGGAAGCGGAAUUCCGGGUGUAGCGGUGAAAUGCGUAGAUAUCCGGAGGAACACCAGUGGCGAAGGCGGCUUCCUGGUCCAAUACUGACGCUGAGACGCGAAAGCGUGGGGAGCAAACAGGAUUAGAUACCCUGGUAGUCCACGCCCUAAACUAUGUCGAUUAGCCGUUGGGAUCAAUUAAGGUCUUAGUGGCGCAGCUAACGCGAUAAAUCGACCGCCUGGGGAGUACGGCCGCAAGGUUA
rnacentral:rRNA from 1 species